rnacentral:rRNA from 1 species
UACGGGGGGAGCAAGCGUUGUUCGGAUUUACUGGGCGUAAAGGGCGCGUAGGCGGCCACCGCAAGUCGACUGUGAAAUCUCCGGGCUUAACUCGGAAAGGUCAGCCGAUACUGCGGGGCUAGAGUGCAGAAGGGGCAACUGGAAUUCUCGGUGUAGCGGGGAAAUGCGUAGAUAUCGAGAGGAACACCUGCGGCGAAGGCGGGUUGCUGGGCUUACACUGACGCUGAUUGUGCGAAAGCUAGGGGAGCGAACGGG